rnacentral:rRNA from 1 species
AUUGAACGCUGGCGGCAGGCCUAACACAUGCAAGUCGAACGAGUGGCGGACGUGUGCGUAAUGUCUGGGAAACUGCCUGAUGGAGGGGGAUAAUUACUGGCAACGGUAGAUAAUACCGCAUACCAUCAGAUGUGCCCAGAUGGGAUUAGCUUGUUGGUGGGGUAACGGCUCACCAAGCCGACGAUCCCUAGCUGGUCUGAGAGGGUGACCAGCCACACUGGAACUGAAACACGGUCCAGACUCCUACGGGAGGCAGCAGUGGGUAAUAGUGCACAAUGGGCUCAAGCCUGAUGCAGCCAUGCCGCGUGUAUGAAGAAGGCCUUCGGGUUGUAAAGUACUUUCAGCGGGGAGGCGUUACCCGCAGAAGAAGCACCGGCUAACUCCGUGCCAGCAGCCGCGGUAAUUC